CCUACGGGUGACAGCAGUGAGGAAUAUUGGUCAAUGGGCGCGAGCCUGAACCAGCCAAGUAGCGUGAAGGAUGACUGCCCUACGGGUUGUAAACUUCUUUUAUAAAGGAAUAAAGUGAGGCACGUGUGCCUUUUUGUACGUACUUUAUGAAUAAGGCUCGGCUAACUCCGUGCCAGCAGCCGCGGUAAUACGGAGGUUCCGAGCGUUAUCCGGAAUUAUUGGGUUUAAAGGGAGCGUCGAUGGGUUGUUAAGUCAGUUGUGAAAGUAUGCGGCUCAACCGUAAAAUUGCAAUUGAUACUGGCAGUCUAGAGUACAGGUGAGGUAGGCGGAAUUCGUGGUGUAGCGGUGAAAUGCUUAGAUAUCACGAAGAACACCGAUUGCGAAGGCAGCUUACUAAACUGCCACUGACAUUGAUGCUCGAAAGUGUGGGUAUCAAACAGGAUUAGAUACCCUUGUAGUC
rnacentral:rRNA from 1 species